rnacentral:rRNA from 1 species
UACAUGGGGUGCAAACGUUGCUCGGAAUCAUUGGGCGUAAAGCGCGCGUAGGCGGUUGCUUAAGUCGGAUGUGAAAGCCCUCGGCUUAACUGAGGAAGUGCAUCCGAAACUGAGCAGCUAGAGUACGAAAGAGGGUCGCGGAAUUCCCGGUGUAGAGGUGAAAUUCGUAGAUAUCGGGAGGAACACCGGUGGCGAAAGCGACUUCCUGGACCAGUACCGACGUUCAGGCACGAAAGCGUGGGGAGCAAACAGG